rnacentral:rRNA from 4 species
AGAGUUUGAUCCUGGCUCAGGAUGAACGCUGGCGGCGUGCCUAAUACAUGCAAGUCGAGCGAACGGACGAGAAGCUUGCUUCUCUGAUGUUAGCGGCGGACGGGUGAGUAACACGUGGAUAACCUACCUAUAAGACUGGGAUAACUUCGGGAAACCGGAGCUAAUACCGGAUAAUAUUUUGAACCGCAUGGUUCAAAAGUGAAAGACGGUCUUGCUGUCACUUAUAGAUGGAUCCGCGCUGCAUUAGCUAGUUGGUAAGGUAACGGCUUACCAAGGCAACGAUGCAUAGCCGACCUGAGAGGGUGAUCGGCCACACUGGAACUGAGACACGGUCCAGACUCCUACGGGAGGCAGCAGUAGGGAAUCUUCCGCAAUGGGCGAAAGCCUGACGGAGCAACGCCGCGUGAGUGAUGAAGGUCUUCGGAUCGUAAAACUCUGUUAUUAGGGAAGAACAUAUGUGUAAGUAACUGUGCACAUCUUGACGGUACCUAAUCAGAAAGCCACGGCUAACUACGUGCCAGCAGCCGCGGUAAUACGUAGGUGGCAAGCGUUAUCCGGAAUUAUUGGGCGUAAAGCGCGCGUAGGCGGUUUUUUAAGUCUGAUGUGAAAGCCCACGGCUCAACCGUGGAGGGUCAUUGGAAACUGGAAAACUUGAGUGCAGAAGAGGAAAGUGGAAUUCCAUGUGUAGCGGUGAAAUGCGCAGAGAUAUGGAGGAACACCAGUGGCGAAGGCGACUUUCUGGUCUGUAACUGACGCUGAUGUGCGAAAGCGUGGGGAUCAAACAGGAUUAGAUACCCUGGUAGUCCACGCCGUAAACGAUGAGUGCUAAGUGUUAGGGGGUUUCCGCCCCUUAGUGCUGCAGCUAACGCAUUAAGCACUCCGCCUGGGGAGUACGACCGCAAGGUUGAAACUCAAAGGAAUUGACGGGGACCCGCACAAGCGGUGGAGCAUGUGGUUUAAUUCGAAGCAACGCGAAGAACCUUACCAAAUCUUGACAUCCUUUGACAACUCUAGAGAUAGAGCCUUCCCCUUCGGGGGACAAAGUGACAGGUGGUGCAUGGUUGUCGUCAGCUCGUGUCGUGAGAUGUUGGGUUAAGUCCCGCAACGAGCGCAACCCUUAAGCUUAGUUGCCAUCAUUAAGUUGGGCACUCUAAGUUGACUGCCGGUGACAAACCGGAGGAAGGUGGGGAUGACGUCAAAUCAUCAUGCCCCUUAUGAUUUGGGCUACACACGUGCUACAAUGGACAAUACAAAGGGCAGCGAAACCGCGAGGUCAAGCAAAUCCCAUAAAGUUGUUCUCAGUUCGGAUUGUAGUCUGCAACUCGACUACAUGAAGCUGGAAUCGCUAGUAAUCGUAGAUCAGCAUGCUACGGUGAAUACGUUCCCGGGUCUUGUACACACCGCCCGUCACACCACGAGAGUUUGUAACACCCGAAGCCGGUGGAGUAACCUUUUAGGAGCUAGCCGUCGAAGGUGGGACAAAUGAUUGGGGCGAAGUCGUAACAAGGUAGCCGUAUCGGAAGGUGCGGCUGGAUCACCU